UCCUACGGGAGGCAGCAGUGGGGAGUCUUCCGCAAUGGACGAAAGUCUGACGGAGCAACGCCGCGUGAGUGAAGAAGGUUUUCGGAUCGUAAAGCUCUUUCGUUAGGGACGAACGUGCUCUUUGUGAAUAAUGAGGAGUAAUGACGGUACCUAAAUAAGAAGCCACGGCUAACUACGUGCCAGCAGCCGCGGUAAUACGGGAGCCAGCAGCCGCGGUAAUACGGGAGCCAGCAGCCGCGGUAAUACGGGAGCCAGCAGCCGCGGUAAUACAGACCUACGGGAGGCAGCAGUGGGGAAUUUUGGACAAUGGGCGUAAGCCUGAUCCAGCAGCCGCGGUAAU
rnacentral:rRNA from 1 species